rnacentral:RNase_P_RNA from 1 species
GCGGCGCGGUAGGCGACGGCGCAAUAUACGCGAGGAAAGUCCGGGCUACGGCAGAGCGGGGUUCCGCUUAACGAGCGGCGAGAGAAAUCUUAGGGAAAGCGCAACAGAAAACAAACCGCCGCGUAAAAGCGCGGUAAGGGUGAAACGGCGGAGUAAAAGACCACCGAACCUUUGGCGACAAAGGUUGCAGGCAAGCCCAACCCGUAGCAAGAGGCGUCAGGUUAAAGCUCUGCAACGGCGAGCGCCUCGCUCGAGUCGUUUGGCGACAAACGACCUAGAGAAAUCGUCGUCCAAGACAGAAUCCGGCUUAUCGCCGCGCCGCAUAG